rnacentral:rRNA from 1 species
ACGAACGCUGGCGGCGUGCUUAACACAUGCAAGUCGAACGGUGAACCCGCUUCGGUGGGGGAUCAGUGGCGAACGGGUGAGUAACACGUGGGCAACCUGCCCUCAGCUCUGGGAUAACUCCAAGAAAUUGGGGCUAAUACUGGAUAUGACCGCUGACCGCAUGGUCUGGUGGUGGAAAGAUUUAUCGGCUGGGGAUGGGCCCGCGGCCUAUCAGCUUGUUGGUGGGGUAGUGGCCUACCAAGGCGACGACGGGUAGCCGGCCUGAGAGGGUGACCGGCCACACUGGGACUGAGACACGGCCCAGACUCCUACGGGAGGCAGCAGUGGGGAAUAUUGCGCAAUGGGCGAAAGCCUGACGCAGCGACGCCGCGUGGGGGAUGACGGCCUUCGGGUUGUAAACCUCUUUCAGCAGGGACGAAGCGAAAGUGACGGUACCUGCAGAAGAAGCACCGGCCAACUACGU